GAUGAAGAACGUAUCAAAAUGCGAUACUUGGUGUGAAUUGCAGAAUCCCGUGAACCAUCGAGUUUUUGAACGCAAGUUGCGCCCGAAGCCUUUUGGCCGAGGGCACGUCUGCCUGGGCGUCACGCAUCGCGUCGCCCCCCACAAUUCUCCGUAAAGGGAACGUGUGUUUUGGGGGCGGAUAUUGGUCUCCCGUGCUCAUGGCGUGGUUGGCCGAAAUAGGAGUCCUUUCGAUGGACGCACGAACUAGUGGUGGUCGUAAAAACCCUCGUCUUUUGUUUCGUGCUGUUGCUCGCAAGGUAAACUCUUUAAAAACCCCAAUGUGUCGUCUCUUGACGACGCUUCGACCGCGACCCCAGGUCAGGCGGGACUACCCGCUGAGUUUAAGCAUAUCAAUAAGCGGAGGA
rnacentral:misc_RNA from 1 species